UAGGGAAUCUUCCACAAUGGGCGCAAGCCUGAUGGAGCAACACCGCGUGAGUGAAGAAGGGUUUCGGCUCGUAAAGCUCUGUUGUUAAAGAAGAACACGUAUGAGAGUAACUGUUCAUACGUUGACGGUAUUUAACCAGAAAGUCACGGCUAACUCCGUGCCAG
rnacentral:rRNA from 1 species